ensembl:snRNA U2 U2 spliceosomal RNA
AUCGCUUCUCGGCCUUUUGGCUAAGAUCAAGUGUAGUAUCUGUUGCUGGCCCUCGUGGCAGAAUGUAAGCCGCUCUGAGUCCCCUU